UAAAAUAUGUGGAAAUCACACUAUUUAUCCACAAAAUAGUUAUGCUAUGCCCCCUCACACACACACACACACACACACACACACACACACACACACACAGGCAAGAGCUCAAUGAGUUGAGAAGUCAAUAACAGGGGCACUUUUUAUUUUUCCCUCCUCUCCUUUAUAAGAGCGUCUCCUGGCUGGGAAGGGAGAAAGAAGAUAAACAGCCAACUCUGAAGGCUUUUGAAGCUGGCCUAUCAACAAAGGAUCUUCUAAAUCAAUUCCCCAGCAGAAACGGAAUGCAGGCGCUUCUCAGAAAUGUCUCACAAAGAAGCACAGAGAAAGGCUCUCUGAAGGCGGAAGCAGGAGAUGUUUCCAUCCUAAAGAUGGAAAUUGAGGAUGGGCAGAAAGCCCCUGCCAGAAAAUCUUCCCUGGGGUCAGCAGGGCCUCGUGGCUCUGGGACCACUUCAGCACCAGCCAUUCCAAGACGGUCAGAACACUUUCUCUGGGUCACACGGUAGAUUCAACCUCCUUUCAGCCCUUUCAGGUGGAUGGUCCUUUGGAUGGUUUCCACACUUUGACUCAGUUUCUGCAUCAGAUGCUGCCUCUCUCAUCACCCCUCUCUGCCCUACCAAUGGAACACUGGAUGUGAUGUGCUAUCUUCCAGGGCAGUACUCCUGAAUCCGGGGCUCCCUGAUGUUCGCCGGCUUGGCCACAGGGAGAAUGGACCACCACAGGCAGUGGGAGCAAUGUGCAAUAUCAAAAUGACUUCUAUCAAGAGUCCUCUGCUCCACCCAGAUCCCCCAGUCAGGUAUUAGCAGAUGCCUAGAGGACACAGGUUCCAAGCCCACAGAAUUUAAGAUCCUAAAAUGUGUCCUCCAGGUCAGAGCCAAAGCCCCAUAACAUAUAUUAUCUUCCCAAAAAGGGAGGAGAUAGGAGAGUGAAUUCUCAACACACCUGAGGACACACACUGAUCGUAAUUCAAUUUGAAUACUUCUAAUGUUUGUUAAGUGAACAGAUCUAAGGACUAUCCCCCAAGAUCUUUUCUUAUGAAGACAACCAAGCUCAGCCAUUCUGCACUGAUGUGUUUAGGUGUUCCUCUCAAAAGGUGACCUUUUUAUAAAUUUUGAGAACCUCCUAUCAUUAUGUCCUACCCUCCCCCACUUCAACACAAUUAAAAGGAGGCAUUUCACCAAUGAUCUUGGUAGCUUCCUCCCAUUCCUUCUCAUUUUCCCAGAGUUAAGUCCUUUUUCAAAGCCAGCCUUUGCCUCAGCCCAUCUUUAUGCCCAUCUGGAAACACAGCUGGCUUUUUCCAUGAAAUAGAGUUUCCUUUCCCUAUCUGGAUCAUGUUAAGCCAGGAGAGCAGGAGCCACAGCCUCAGAUUUUGUGGGAUUAAUGCAACAUGGCAUGAGUCACUGAGCCUCUCCACAAAAUUGAGGGAAAUAGGAGUUCCAGCUGUGGCACAGUGGGUUAAGACCUGUCAUGGCUCAGAGGAAACAAAUCUGACUAGCAUCCAUGAGGAUACAGGUUCAAUCCCUGGCCUCACUCAGUGGGUUAAGGAUCUGGCAUUGCUGUGAGCCAUAGUGUAGGUCAAAGAUGUGGCUCAGAUCUCACGUUGCUGUGGCUGUGUCGUAGGCCAGCAACCUCAGCUCCUAUUCAACCCCUAGCCUGGGAACAUACAUAUGCCAUAACUGUGGCACUUAAAAAAAAUAAUAAAGACAAAAGGGAAAAAAAAUACA
rnacentral:lncRNA from 1 species